CAGAACGAACGCUGGCGGCGCGUCUUAAGCAUGCAAGUCGAGCGGCAAGGGGGAGCAAUCCCCCCUAGAGCGGCGGACUGGCGAGUAACACGUAGGCGACGCGUCCUUAGGACGGGGACAGCCGGCAGAAAUGCCGGGUAAUACCGGAUACGCGCGGCGGGGCUAGAGCCUGCCGCGGAAAGAUGCUACGGCAUCGCCUGAGGGGCGGUCUGCGGCCCAUUAGCUAGUCGGUGGGGUAACGGCUUACCGAGGCGAUGAUGGGUACCCGGCCUGAGAGGGCGACCGGGCGCAUUGGGACUGAGAUACGGCCCAGACUCCUACGGGAGGCAGCAGCUAAGAAUAUUCCGCAAUGGGCGAAAGCCUGACGGAGCGACGCCGCGUGGAUGAGGGAGGCCGGAAGGUUGUAAAAUCCUUUUGCGCGGGAAGAAGGAGCGGGGGAGGGAAUGCCUCCGUGGUGACGUACCGCGCGAAUAAGCAACG
rnacentral:rRNA from 1 species